rnacentral:rRNA from 1 species
UUUAAGGUCUAGCCUGCCCAAUGAGGAGUUAAAUGGCCGCGGUAUUUUGACCGUGCAAAGGUAGCAUAAUAAUUAGUUUUUUAAUUGAAAGCUGGAAUGAAUGGUUGGACGAGAGAGUUACUGUCUCAUUUUAAUUUUUUAUUUGAAUUUUAUUUUUAGGUAAAAAAGCUUAAAUUUCUUUAAAAGACGAGAAGACCCUAUAGAGUUUUACAUUAAUUAUUUUAUUUUUGGUUUAGUAUUAAUUUUUUUUAUAUGUUAAUUAAUGUUUUGUUGGGGUGAUAUGGAAAUUAAUAUAACUUUCUAUUGGUUUUUUCACUUUUUUGUGAUUUUUUGAUCCAUUUAUUAUGAUUAUAAGAUUCAAUUACCUUAGGGAUAACAGCGUAAUUUUUUUUUAGAGUUCUAAUCGAAAGAAAAGUUUGCGACCUCGAUGUUGGAUUAAAAUUAAUGUUUGGUGCAGAAGCUAGAUAAUUGGGUCUGUUCGACCUUUGAAAUUUUACA